rnacentral:rRNA from 1 species
GGUUAAGCGACUAAGCGUACACGGUGGAUGCCCUGGCAGUCAGAGGCGAUGAAGGACGUGCUAAUCUGCGAUAAGCGUCGGUAAGGUGAUAUGAACCGUUAUAACCGGCGAUUUCCGAAUGGGGAAACCCAGUGUGAUUCGUCACACUAUCAUUAACUGAAUCCAUAGGUUAAUGAGGCGAACCGGGGGAACUGAAACAUCUAAGUACCCCGAGGAAAAGAAAUCAACCGAGAUUCCCCCAGUAGCGGCGAGCGAACGGGGAGCAGCCCAGAGCCUGAAUCAGUGUGUGUGUUAGUGGAAGCGUCUGGAAAGGCGCGCGAUACAGGGUGACAGCCCCGUACACAAAAAUGCACAUACUGUGAGCUCGAUGAGUAGGGCGGGACACGUGGUAUCCUGUCUGAAUAUGGGGGGACCAUCCUCCAAGGCUAAAUACUCCUGACUGACCGAUAGUGAACCAGUACCGUGAGGGAAAGGCGAAAAGAACCCCGGCGAGGGGAGUGAAAAAGAACCUGAAACCGUGUACGUACAAGCAGUGGGAGCACAGAGCAAUCUGUGUGACUGCGUACCUUUUGUAUAAUGGGUCAGCGACUUAUAUUCUGUAGCAAGGUUAACCGAAUAGGGGAGCCGAAGGGAAACCGAGUCUUAACUGGGCGUUAAGUUGCAGGGUAUAGACCCGAAACCCGGUGAUCUAGCCAUGGGCAGGUUGAAGGUUGGGUAACACUAACUGGAGGACCGAACCGACUAAUGUUGAAAAAUUAGCGGAUGACUUGUGGCUGGGGGUGAAAGGCCAAUCAAACCGGGAGAUAGCUGGUUCUCCCCGAAAGCUAUUUAGGUAGCGCCUCGUGAAUUCAUCUCCGGGGGUAGAGCACUGUUUCGGCAAGGGGGUCAUCCCGACUUACCAACCCGAUGCAAACUGCGAAUACCGGAGAAUGUUAUCACGGGAGACACACGGCGGGUGCUAACGUCCGUCGUGAAGAGGGAAACAACCCAGACCGCCAGCUAAGGUCCCAAAGUCAUGGUUAAGUGGGAAACGAUGUGGGAAGGCCCAGACAGCCAGGAUGUUGGCUUAGAAGCAGCCAUCAUUUAAAGAAAGCGUAAUAGCUCACUGGUCGAGUCGGCCUGCGCGGAAGAUGUAACGGGGCUAAACCAUGCACCGAAGCUGCGGCAGCGACGCUGAUGCGUUGUUGGGUAGGGGAGCGUUCUGUAAGCCUGUGAAGGUGUGCUGUGAGGCAUGCUGGAGGUAUCAGAAGUGCGAAUGCUGACAUAAGUAACGAUAAAGCGGGUGAAAAGCCCGCUCGCCGGAAGACCAAGGGUUCCUGUCCAACGUUAAUCGGGGCAGGGUGAGUCGACCCCUAAGGCGAGGCCGAAAGGCGUAGUCGAUGGGAAACAGGUUAAUAUUCCUGUACUUGGUGUUACUGCGAAGGGGGGACGGAGAAGGCUAUGUUGGCCGGGCGACGGUUGUCCCGGUUUAAGCGUGUAGGCUGGUUUUCCAGGCAAAUCCGGAAAAUCAAGGCUGAGGCGUGAUGACGAGGCACUACGGUGCUGAAGCAACAAAUGCCCUGCUUCCAGGAAAAGCCUCUAAGCAUCAGGUAACAUCAAAUCGUACCCCAAACCGACACAGGUGGUCAGGUAGAGAAUACCAAGGCGCUUGAGAGAACUCGGGUGAAGGAACUAGGCAAAAUGGUGCCGUAACUUCGGGAGAAGGCACGCUGAUAUGUAGGUGAAGUCCCUCGCGGAUGGAGCUGAAAUCAGUCGAAGAUACCAGCUGGCUGCAACUGUUUAUUAAAAACACAGCACUGUGCAAACACGAAAGUGGACGUAUACGGUGUGACGCCUGCCCGGUGCCGGAAGGUUAAUUGAUGGGGUUAGCGCAAGCGAAGCUCUUGAUCGAAGCCCCGGUAAACGGCGGCCGUAACUAUAACGGUCCUAAGGUAGCGAAAUUCCUUGUCGGGUAAGUUCCGACCUGCACGAAUGGCGUAAUGAUGGCCAGGCUGUCUCCACCCGAGACUCAGUGAAAUUGAACUCGCUGUGAAGAUGCAGUGUACCCGCGGCAAGACGGAAAGACCCCGUGAACCUUUACUAUAGCUUGACACUGAACAUUGAGCCUUGAUGUGUAGGAUAGGUGGGAGGCUUUGAAGUGUGGACGCCAGUCUGCAUGGAGCCGACCUUGAAAUACCACCCUUUAAUGUUUGAUGUUCUAACGUUGACCCGUAAUCCGGGUUGCGGACAGUGUCUGGUGGGUAGUUUGACUGGGGCGGUCUCCUCCUAAAGAGUAACGGAGGAGCACGAAGGUUGGCUAAUCCUGGUCGGACAUCAGGAGGUUAGUGCAAUGGCAUAAGCCAGCUUGACUGCGAGCGUGACGGCGCGAGCAGGUGCGAAAGCAGGUCAUAGUGAUCCGGUGGUUCUGAAUGGAAGGGCCAUCGCUCAACGGAUAAAAGGUACUCCGGGGAUAACAGGCUGAUACCGCCCAAGAGUUCAUAUCGACGGCGGUGUUUGGCACCUCGAUGUCGGCUCAUCACAUCCUGGGGCUGAAGUAGGUCCCAAGGGUAUGGCUGUUCGCCAUUUAAAGUGGUACGCGAGCUGGGUUUAGAACGUCGUGAGACAGUUCGGUCCCUAUCUGCCGUGGGCGCUGGAGAACUGAGGGGGGCUGCUCCUAGUACGAGAGGACCGGAGUGGACGCAUCACUGGUGUUCGGGUUGUCAUGCCAAUGGCACUGCCCGGUAGCUAAAUGCGGAAGAGAUAAGUGCUGAAAGCAUCUAAGCACGAAACUUGCCCCGAGAUGAGUUCUCCCUGACUCCUUGAGAGUCCUGAAGGAACGUUGAAGACGACGACGUUGAUAGGCCGGAUGUGUAAGCGCAGCGAUGCGUUGAGCUAACCGGUACUAAUGAACCGUGAGGCUUAACCUU